UGUUGUUUACUUCAGGCUCUA
rnacentral:snRNA from 1 species